rnacentral:tRNA from 4 species
GCGGGCGUGGCGAAACUGGUAGACGCAACAGACUUAAAAUCUGUCAGCCGCAAGGCUAUGCCGGUUCGAUCCCGGCCGCCCGCACCA